rnacentral:tRNA from 1 species
GGAGAUGUAGCUCAGUGGCAGAGCACUUGUCUAGCAAGUGUAAAGCCCUUGGUUCAAUCCCUAGUACUUCCA